rnacentral:rRNA from 1 species
GCGGUAGCAUGCUGGCUCAGAUCGCCUUGUCGUAUCCACCUGAUAUUAGAGAGCUUGCUCGAAGAAGACGUUGAACAAUGCAAGGAGUGGCGAACGGGUGAGUAACACGUGGGAAACCUACCUCUUAGUAGGGGAUAACAUCUGGAAACAGGUGCUAAUACCGCAUAACAACGAUAACCGCAUGGUUAUCGCUUGAAAGGUGGCGUAAGCUACCGCUAAGAGAUGGUCCCGCGGUGCAUUAGUUAGUUGGUGAGGUAAAGGCUCACCAAGACGAUGAUGCAUAGCCGAGUUGAGAGACUGAUCGGCCACAAUGGGACUGAGACACGGCCCAUACUCCUACGGGAGGCAGCAGUAGGGAAUCUUCCACAAUGGACGAAAGUCUGAUGGAGCAACGCCGCGUGUGUGAUGAAGGGUUUCGGCUCGUAAAACACUGUUGUAAGAGAAUAAUGAUACUAAGAGUAACUGUUUAGUAUGUGACGGUAUCUUAGCAGAAAGGAACGGCUAAGUACGUGCCAGCAGCCGCGAUAAUACGUAUGUUCCAAGCGUUAUCCGGAUUUAUCGGGCGUAAAGCGAGCGCAGACGGUUGGUUAAGUCUGAACUGAAGGCCCACAGCUUAACGUGUGGAACUAC